GCAGCACCAUAGUGAUGUCCUGGCAGUCGACAGCGAUGUGCGGUCAAGCCGGGAGGAGAUAGGGACGGAGCAGACUGAGGGCACUAUCGUGGGGACGAACCCAGUGGACUCCAGCUUUGGCUAACUUCUGCCCUGGCGGUCGAUGAGGUUCAACAUUUGCACCAUCAGUUUUUUGAGUUGAAGAAGUGUAGGCACCUAAUGCAUUCAGCCUAGCUCUCUUGUGCAUUUGUUCAAUUGUGGGAACUUUCUCCAUGAGUUGAAGAAGUUGAUCUUCAGAUUGACCAUUGGCAUAUGUGCUCUUGAUAUCAUUGUAGAUUCCAUUAUACUUGUUAAUAAAAGGGAUAGUCUUGUUCCAGUGCUUGCAUAUCGUGGGUCCGAACUAAAGUUUGAGGAGCUGAGCAAAUUUGUGAAACUCGCUGAAGAGGAGUUAUCCAUGUCUAUGGCUGUUCUGCUUUGUAUGUAGUAGGCUAGUACACCAGUGGUCUAUGGAUAAGUUCAGGUAUGCAUAUACAUAGCAGAUUUUUGAUACAACGAUCAAAUGUGUGAUUAAUACAGGUUGUUGUAUUUGCUCGUUGCUGGAUGAAUUGUCGAACGGCCAUGUGACUCAACAACACACCAAAUAAUAUUCUAUUCACCCAGCGCAUC